rnacentral:rRNA from 1 species
GACGAACGCUGGCGGCGUGCCUAAUACAUGCAAGUAGAACGCACAGUUUAUACCGUAGCUUGCUACACCAUAGACUGUGAGUUGCGAACGGGUGAGUAACGCGUAGGUAACCUGCCUGGUAGCGGGGGAUAACUAUUGGAAACGAUAGCUAAUACCGCAUAAUAUUGAUUAUUGCAUGAUAAUUGAUUGAAAGAUGCUAUUGCAUCACUACCAGAUGGACCUGCGUUGUAUUAGCUAGUAGGUGAGGUAACGGCUCACCUAGGCGACGAUACAUAGCCGACCUGAGAGGGUGAUCGGCCACACUGGGACUGGGACACGGCCCAGACUCCUACGGGAGGUAGCAGUAGGGAAUCUUCGGCAAUGGACGAAAGUCUGACCGAGCAACGCCGCGUGAGUGAAGAAGGUUUUCGGAUCGUAAAGCUCUGUUGUAAGAGAAGAACGGGUGUGAGAGUGGAAAGUUCACACUGUGACGGUAUCUUACCAGAAAGGGACGGCUAACUACGUG